rnacentral:lncRNA from 1 species
AUAUGUAAAUUAAAUUUUAAAAAAAUAUUUACAUAAAUUUGAAUAUUUAGAAGGGUAUACAUACAAAAAAACUUAUAAGAUAAUAAUAAAAAAAUAAAUAAAUUACUUUCUCUAAAUUAAUAUUAUUUAAUAUUAGCUCAAAAUAUAACAUGCACCAAAUGCAUAAUAACUCCAACUAAUGCUUAAUAAGAAAAAUUCAAACCAAUCAUCAACCC